rnacentral:rRNA from 1 species
GAUGAACGCUGGCGGCGUGCCUAAUACAUGCAAGUCGAGCGAACAGACGAGGAGCUUGCUCCUCUGACGUUAGCGGCGGACGGGUGAGUAACACGUGGAUAACCUACCUAUAAGACUGGGAUAACUUCGGGAAACCGGAGCUAAUACCGGAUAAUAUAUUGAACCGCAUGGUUCAAUAGUGAAAGACGGUUUUGCUGUCACUUAUAGAUGGAUCCGCGCCGCAUUAGCUAGUUGGUAAGGUAACGGCUUACCAAGGCAACGAUGCGUAGCCGACCUGAGAGGGUGAUCGGCCACACUGGAACUGAGACACGGUCCAGACGCCUACGGGAGGCAGCAGUAGGGAAUCUGCCGCAAUGGGCGAAAGCCUGACGGAGCAACGCCGCGGGAGUGAUGAAGGGCUUCGGAUCGUAAAACUCUGUUAUGAGGGAAGAACAAAUGUGUAAGUAACUAUGCACGUCUGGACGGUACCUAAUCAGAAAGCCACGGCUAACUACGU